UACGUAGGGCGCAAGCGUUGUCCGGAAUUAUUGGGCGUAAAGAGCUCGUAGGCGGCUUGUCACGUCGGAUGUGAAAGCCCGGGGCUUAACCCCGGGUCUGCAUUCGAUACGGGCAGGCUAGAGUGUGGUAGGGGAGAUCGGAAUUCCUGGUGUAGCGGUGAAAUGCGCAGAUAUCAGGAAGAACACCAAUGGCGAAAGCAGCUUUCUGGGACGGUACUGACGCUGAGACGCGAAAGCGUGGGGAGCGAACAGG
rnacentral:rRNA from 1 species